GGAGAGGAAGCUAUUGGAGCAUUUGACUGUUACUCAAAUUAUAGCACAACUAGGGUGUGCCCUCUCUA
rnacentral:tRNA from 1 species